GACGAACGCUGGCGGCGUGCUUAACACAUGCAAGUCGAACGGAAAGGCCCUGCUUUUGUGGGGUGCUCGAGUGGCGAACGGGUGAGUAACACGUGAGUAACCUGCCCUUGACUUUGGGAUAACUUCAGGAAACUGGGGCUAAUACCGGAUAGGAGCUCCUGCUGCAUGGUGGGGGUUGGAAAGUUUCGGCGGUUGGGGAUGGACUCGCGGCUUAUCAGCUUGUUGGUGGGGUAGUGGCUUACCAAGGCUUUGACGGGUAGCCGGCCUGAGAGGGUGACCGGCCACCUUGGGACUGAGAUACGGCGCAGACUCCUACGGGAGGCAGCAGUGGGGAAUAUUGCACAAUGGGCGGAAGCCUGAUGCAGCAACGCCGCGUGCGGGAUGACGGCCUUCGGGUUGUAAACCGCUUUCGCCUGUGACGAAGCGUGAGUGACGGUAAUGAGUAAAGAAGCACCGGCUAACUACGUG
rnacentral:rRNA from 1 species